GGAAGGGCUCACUGAGGAGAUGGCAUUUAGACUGAGACUCAGAUCUGAUUGACAAGAAAACACCCAUGAUGAGACAAGAUGGCUUGGGGAAGGAGGCAGGAUUCCAGGCCCAGAGAACAGCCACUGCCAAGAUCUGGAGACAGGAAAUGUCUUGGUGUGUCCCGGGAUCAAGAGGAAGGCCAGUGUGGCAGGAGCAGAGGGAAUAACAAGGAGAGUGACAGAAGACAAGACGUGCAGACUUUUACACCAAAGAUCUUCUUCCCAAGAUCUUCCAGAUUCCCCAUGCUACCCCAUGCGCCCACACCCACGCACACACAUGCACAUGCUCACAUACAAC
rnacentral:lncRNA from 1 species